rnacentral:rRNA from 1 species
GAUGAACGCUGGCGGCGUGCCUAAUACAUGCAAGUCGAGCGAACAGAUAAGGAGCUUGCUCCUUUGACGUUAGCGGCGGACGGGUGAGUAACACGUGGGUAACCUACCUAUAAGACUGGAAUAACUCCGGGAAACCGGGGCUAAUGCCGGAUAACAUGUUGAACCGCAUGGUUCUACAGUGAAAGGCGGCUUUGCUGUCUCUUAUAGAUGGACCCGCGCCGUAUUAGCUAGUUGGUGAGGUAACGGCUCACCAAGGCAACGAUACGUAGCCGACCUGAGAGGGUGAUCGGCCGCACUGGAACUGGGACACGGUCCAGACUCCUACGGGAGGCAGCAGUAGGGAAUCUUCCGCAAUGGGCGGAAGCCUGACGGAGCAACGCGGCGUGAGUGAUGAAGGUCUUCGGAUCGUAAAACUCUGUUAUUAGGGAAGAACAAAUGCGUAAGUAACUGUGCGCGUCUUGACGGUACCUAAUCAGAAAGCCACGGCUAACUACGUG